UCUUCUACAUUCACAGAAAGAUGCUGAAACACAAAAUUACAAGUGUUUUAUAUCGCAUCCUGUCCUCAGAUCAUUCUACACCACAUGUGGACUCUGACACACGAUUCUUUAAAAUUGUGGACAAAGAUCCUAAAAAUACAACAAAGUAUUUUUGUUUAUAAUAUUCUAAUAGGCCAGAAGGCCUACUUUAGUGUUGUAAUAGUAUUAUUAUUAAAUCUCCCUCAAAUCAAGGUUAUGUCAACUAUGUUCAGAUUGACCUACCAACUCAAAGUACCUUUACUAAUUUUAUUUGGAUCAUUGGUACCUAAUGUUCAGGCUACUUACUAAAAUUUUUAUGUUAAGUAUUGUAAUUCUGUCAUUCUUCCAAUGUCCCAACCAUUUAUUGAAUUUUAUGCUUAAGGUUUCUCGAAACCAAUCUAGAAUUUGUAAAGCAAUGGACUUUCCUAAUGUUCAAAAUUUGAGAUGUACAAAAUGGGAAGCACCUUCCAGAUAAAACAGGACUGAAAACAGGAACUCACAAGACUGAGGCGGUAUGCAAACGUUUGCACUAACUCAUGCCAGAGGGGGUUCCCCCUCACCCCCCCUCCCCCAGGCCCCUGACCCCACUUCCCACCCCCUUGCACUGUGAGGGAGCAGUAGAAAUGGCCUCCUAGUCAUACAAGGACACUAGCUAACUCCAACUGGCACCCACUUGCAAAAAACAAAACAAAUCCAAACACCACCACCACCACCACCACCACCACCAACAACAACAAUAAAACUUAGGUUCCUUAAUGGAGUCUUACUGGGUAUAUUAACCACAAUUAAGGGCUGGCCCCAUACCUAACAGUAGAUGGCCAAUACAACAUGAACUCAAUGAUACUCCUUUGGUCUCAUAAUGUUUCAUUUGAGCUUUGUUUGUUUUCUUGUGCUACAGAUCUUUUGCUUGUAGACUAUAGCUUCAGAUUUUGUGUUUUUAUAGGUGUGGGUGUUUAUGUUUUCCUUUUUAUUCUACUUUGGCUGGUUUUUGUCUGUUUGCUUAAUUGCCCCUUGCUUGCCUUGCUAAGGAAAGAGAAAGAAAGGACAUGGGUUUGGGUGGAUGGCAAGCUGGGAAGAAACUAGGAGAAGUCAGGGGCAGAGAAAACAUGAUCAAAAUACAUUAUGUGAAAAUAUUUUUUCAAUUAAAACUGUAUAAAAGAGACUAGAAGCAGUAUUAUAGCAAUACUGCUGUUGUUCAGUAAGUAACAUCUAUUUUAAAGUUUUUGUUAUUUUUUUAUUUUGUAAUGUGUAUGUCUGUGACUGUGGGUGGGAUUUGCAUACAAGUGUACCUGCCUGUGCAGUGGGUUCUCCUCAUGCUCAAGUUACAGGCAGUUGUGAGCCAUCUGAUUUGUGUUGUUUUAACUAAAUUCAGGUUGCUUGCAAGAGCAACAUGCACUUAAUAAUUAAGGUGCCAUGAUAGCCAUUUUUAUGUACUUUUCUGAGAUUUUAACUAAUUAGAAGAUGAGCUCAAACUUGUAACCAUUGUAAGGGUCCAUGAUUUGCCAAAGAUUGAUAUCCCAGACUCAAAUAGUAUAUAAAAUCAAAGAGUGUAUUAUUCUGCAGAAGUCCAGCAUGCUGGGGUCUCCCAUUCCAAGAUGGAGGCAACCAAGUGAGCUAGCAGGUCAGAUUUAAAGCACAUUAAGGGAAUUCCAGGUUAGGUGACUUUCAUCUUGUUCUAUGUCUAGAGAUGUUCCAGAACCAUUAACUGGGCAUGGGGGCUGAUAGCUGCUUCGGAGAAGUCUAGAAACUGUUUUUUUUUGUUUGUUUGUUUGUUUUUUUGUUUUUUUUUUUUUGUUUUUGACCCAUUGCCCUUGUUUCAGGUCAGACAGCCGGACAACUUUUGAUAGUAAGGAAGUUUCUGACUAGCUUCCUGAAGCCUGGCGUUUUUUCUAGUAACUGACUUGCCUGGACUUGAGUAGAUUUGCCCAAUUCUUAGACCUCGUCUCCCAAAUUGCCAGUUGAAAUCUGUCAUGGAGUCAGCCUAGCCUUGUCACUAUAUUUCUUACAAAAGUUUUCAGUAUAAAUGCCUUUUGAAAAAUGACCUGAUAAAUCAGUCAUUUUAUAAUCAAUCAGUUCAUUCGGGAAGAUAAAAACAGGUGAGUGGGCUGGCAUGGACUGAUCUUCAGGCUUAAAUAUGGACCUUCCCCCACACAAAAGGAGUACACUAUCCUGUAGGUAGAUCAGCUAUGGAAUGGCAGUUAUUGGAAUCGAACAUUCUGUGUGCUGAAUAUGUCAACUAGUCCUUCUGUGACUCCUAACACAGAGUGAAGAAAGUCUUGGAGGAAAAUGUAAAGGUAUUUGCUUUCUGGAUGCUGGAAUCAUUUAAUUUCCUCUAUAAACAACUGUGCCACAGUGCAAACUGUUUCCAAAGGUCCCAGCUGGCAAGUAGAGUUUCCUCCCCUCAGGGCAGUAAAAGCUGCAUUAAGCCAGAUGAGAGAAAGUUCUGGAACUGCAGAGAAGAAAAAGAUCAAUUCUCUCCUCUUAGGAUCUUUAAGUUCAGUUACCUUUGCUGUCUCUUCAUUUCUGACAAGAAGUUCUGGUUUAAGGAGGAGGGUAGCUUUCCUCUAGACUGCUACGACUAAUGUAAACAAGAUCAUUGUGUUUUUAAUCAACUCCUAUUUUAUGUCUAUAAUAUUUGAUGCACUUGUAGAAUGUUUUGGCUUUAACCUCUUUGCUCUGAUUUACUUUUUACUCUGAAAUUCACCAUAAACAAUCUUAAAUGCAUCUUGGCAGAAUCUUUUCUCUGAUGUUCGCGAGGUUAAAGACUUUUUUUUAAAAUGUGUUCUUUCUCUUUAUUUUUCCUGAGACGUGAAAGAUGAAGUUAUGUUGGAAACGAAAGCAGAGUGAUACUUGAAACCCAGAGUUAAUCCAACUGUGUCUAUCCAUCACUGACCCAGAAGUCCUACCGAAUGAAACACUGAAUCUGUGAAGACGUACUAAGAAGGAAAAUCCAUCCCCUUAAUGAGAAAUUCUUCCUACAUUCCAACCCAACCAAUUCCCUGCCUUCUUUAUAAACAGGCUAAGAAAGAAAUUAAGGAAAUGACACCCUUCACAAUAGUCCCAAAUAACAUAAAAUAUCUUGGUGUGACUUUAACCAAGCAAGUGAAAGAUAUGUAUGACAAGAACUUCAAGUCUCUGAAGAAAGAAAUUGAAGAUCUCAGAAAAUGGAAAGAUCUUCCAUGUUCAUGGAUUGGCAGGAUUAAUAUAGUAAAGAUGGCCAUUUCACCAAAAGCGAUCUACAGAUUCAAUGCAAUCCCCAUCAAAAUUCCUACUCAAUUCUUUAUAGAGAUAGAAAGAGCAAUUUGCAAAUUCAUUUGGAAUAACAAAACCCCAGGAUAGUGAAAACUAUACUCAACAAUAGAAGAACUUCUGGGUGAAUCACCAUACCAGACUUCAAGCAGUAUUACAGAGCAAUAGUCAUAAAAACUGUAUGGUAUUGGUACAGAGACAGGCAGAUAGAUCACUGGAACAAAAUUGAAGAGGCAGAAACGAACCCACACACCUAUGGUCACUUGAUUUUUGACAAAGGAGCUAAAGAUAGGAUUUUCAACACCCAAUGGAAGAAAGAUAGCAUUUUCAACAAAUGGUGCUGGUUCAACUGGAGGUUAGCAUGUAGAAGAAUGAUCCAUUCUUAUCACCAUGUACAAAGCUUAAGUUCAAGUGGAUCAAGGACCUCCACAUCAACCCAGAUACACUCAAACUAAUAGAAGAAAAAGUGGGGAAGAGACUCGAACACAUGGGCACUGGGGGAAAUUUCCUGAAUAAAACACCAACAGCUCAUGCUCUAAGAUCCAGAAUCGACAAAUGGAAUCUCAUAAAACUGCAAAGCUUCUGUAAGGCAAAGGACACUGUCAUUAGGACAAAACGACAACCAACAGAUUGGGAAAAGAUCAUUACCAAUCCUACAUCUGAUAGAGGCCUUAUAUCCAAAAUAUACAAAGAACUCAAGAAGUUAGACUCCAGAGAGCCAAAUAACCCUAUUUAAAAAUGGGGUACGGAGCUAAACAAAACACUCUCAGCUGAGGAUUAUCGAAUGACCAAAAAGCACCUAAAGAAAUGUUCACCAUCUUUAGUCAUCAGGGAAAUGCAAAUCAAAACAACCCUAAUAUUCCACCUCACACCAGUCAGAAUGGCUAAGAUCAAGAACUAAGGUGACAGCAGAUGCUGGCAAGGAUUUGGAGAAAGAGGACCACUCCUCCAUUUUUGGUGGGAUUGCAAACUGGUACAACAACUCUGGAAAUCAGUCUGGUGGUUCCUCAGAAAAUUGGACAUUCUACUACCUGAGGACCCAGCUAUACCUCUCUUGAGCAUGUACCCAAAAGAUGCUUCAACAUACAACAAAGGCACAUGCUCCACUAUGUUCAUAGCAGCCUUAUUUACAAUAGCCAGAAGCUGGAAAGAACCCAGAUGUCCUUCAACAGAGGAAUGUAUACAGAACAUAUGGUAUAUCUACACAAUGGAGGACUACUCAGCUAUCAAAAACAAUGACUUCAUGAAAUUCAUAGGCAAAUGGAAUGAACUAGAAUAUAUCAUGCUGAGUGAGGUUACUCAAUCACAGAAAAACACACUUGGUAUGCAUUCGUUGAUAAGUGGAUAUUAGCCAAAAAACUCGAAUUGCCCAAUAUGCAAUCCACAGAACACAGGAAGCUCAAGAAGGAUAACCAAAAUGCAUAUGGUCUCACUCCUUCUUAAAAGGGGAAAAAAUCCAUAGGAGGGAAUAUGGAAGCAAAAUUUAGAGCAGCAACUCAAGGAAUGGCCAUUCAGAGCCUGACCCACAUGUGGUCCAUAUAUAUACAGCCACCAAAACUAGAUAAGAUUGAUGAAGCAUGCUGAAAGGGACUGGAUAAAAAUCUCUUCUGAGAGACACAUCCAGAGAAUAUCCAAUACAGAGGUCAAUGCUAGCAGCAAACUACUGAACUGAGAAUAGGACCACCUUGGGGAGAAUUAGAGGAAGUAUUGAAAGAGCUGAAGGAGUUUGCAACCCCAUAAGAACAACAAUGCCAACCAACCAGAGCUCCCAGGGACUAAACCACUACCCAAAAAUAUACAUGGACAGAGGAUGCAUAUGUAGCAGAGGAUGCACCAGUGGAAGGAGAAGCUCUUGGUCCUGCCAAAGUUGGACCUCCAGUGCAGGGGUAUAUGGGGGGGCAGUAAGGGGGAUGUAUAGGGGAAUACCUGUAUGGGGAGGGGGAACGGAGGGAAUGGGGGCUUAUGGAAAGGAAACCAGGAAGGGGAAUAACAUUUGAAAUGUAAGUAAAGAAAUAUAUCUAAUAAAAAAAUUAAAAAAGAAACAAACAGGCAAAUAAAAAUAAGUAUAAAAAAGACUGAAAAGUUAUCACCUACACACAUACAUAUAAAACUCAUAAAAACACAGGAGCAGCCACAAACCUCAUGCAAUCAAAACACCAAAGAGGUAAAGAAAAAAAAAAAAAAGCAACUGAACAAGUUAUAGAGAUGGCAUUUAAUUCAUGUAUGUAGAUCAUCUACUGCCUGGUAUGGAGCCUACACUUAAGUGUGGGUUGAAUAUUAAGUGAGAUUUCUUUGGCAAAAACAAAAAACAUAAACAAAGCAAAAUUCUUGUCUUCACUUUCUUUUGAACAUUUGUCAACUAGAGAUAUUUAUUUGUUUUAUGAAAUGUGAGAUCAUGAUCCUCAUACCUCUCCUAAUUUUCAGACACCAUCUACCCUUGACCUUUGUUGGCCCUGUGCAUGGUGUCCCAGUCUCUUUGAGUUUAUAUUGCAUCAAUCUUAUUUUGCCUAGAAGACACAGUUUCCUUGCAGUCAUCCAUUCCCUGCUCCUUACUUUUAAGAUCUUUCUGUCUCCUCUUCUUCCUAAUUGCCUGAGCCCUGGAGUGAGAGGUGUCGUGAAGACAUAUCUUUUAGAACUGGGUGUUCCAAAGUCUAUUAUUCUCUGAACAGUUUCUGUUUGUGGAUCUCUACAUUAGUUCCUGUCUACUGUAG